ensembl:lncRNA
UCUCUCUCUCUCUCUCUCUCCCUCUCCCUCUCCCUCUCCCUCUCUCUCUCUCUCUCUCUCUCUCUCAGUUACCAAUUCCUUUCCACAGAGCCAUGAUGUAAAAAAGCUAAACAAAACAAAAAGUCCCGUCAGGCUAUAUAUGGUCAACAGUUUCCUGUCCCUUACCCUAGUGGUGGAGUUUGGUAGUAUAGACAACACCCGAUUGCUGAUUUUUUUGUUUUAUUUGAUUUCUUUAUUUAUUGCGUUUUAAUUCCGGGAGAACUUGGCCUGUAUAGGUACGCUUGGCCUGAAAUAUGUGAGGGAUCUGGACAUUCACUUUUACAUAUUCUCAGAGAUUAGGCAAAUGGAGAAUGCUUCUUUUUUUUAUUGUAUAUUCCUUAAGCAUCAGUUUUCAGAAUUUCUUCUUGGGGUUAAAAUGAACAGCUUUGACAUUGUGUUGCUGGGACUUAUGGUCCAGAGAGUGAUACAGGAUGAUGCUUUGAACAAAUAGCCCAUGAUUUUCUGUUGUCUUUUCCUUUCCUUUAUAGUGCAUGAGAAUAUUUCAGAAGUCAUAUGUGUAGAGAAAUAAGUUGCUUUUUAAAGGUUUUGUAAAUAUGAAUAAACCAUGCAAUUAGUUGAUGUGUUAGUGGCGGCCUAAAGCAUAGGGUCCAAUAUCUAAAAUGGCGCAGUAUGUAAUGUAGAUAUUUGUGUCACGUGCUGUAGCAUGUCGCAGACCUUCAAAGCUCCUUCUAUCACGCGCGAACAAAAAUAAUGCGGAACCCAGGUCUGAAACCAGUGGUUUCCAUAGAAAAGGUGUCCAUCCUUCAUUCUCCAAUAUAUAAAUAACUAUAUCUAUAUAUGUUUAUCUAGAUCUAGGUAUACAUAUAUAUAUAUAUAUAUAUAUACAUACGUAAUCCCUUUCGCAACCAUUCUUGGCUUUUCUCUCACGUAGACGGUAAUGUUUGGCGUUUUGUUUUUCGUGUCGCUUCACACGCGGUUCGCUUGCACAGGUGGCAGGGCCGUUGUCAUGGCAGCGGUAUAUUUCAUUCCCCGGUAGAUUUGGUGGCCAUAAAAAUGGAACAAUCUCUCUUUUCACCCGGCUUAUCCGAGCGAGAGACGGAACCCAUUGCUGUGAGCAGGUGUAGCAGCGCUCCGAGGGUGCGUUCUAAACGUGCUCCGGUCCCACCGAUAAAGCGGUUGCGUGCGCAUCGACCAGCCUCAGGAGGCGGUGGUUCUGUCGAGGGCAGAGAGGAUGCACGAGCAUUUCUCCGACUGCGUCAUCGCUAAAGAGGAUUAUAAAUACAUGCAGUGGCGGGUUGUUUUAAUGGCACAGCUGUUUAACCUCGAGUUAGUCUCCUCUCUUUAACUCUUAAAACUGGGUUGUUUCGAAAUUCAACAUGAUGAGGAAGGCGUGCACAUGUUAUCAUGGGCCAACGCCUUGGAAUCACAUCAUUUUUGUCUCUUCUUUUUUUACUGACACUGCAGUAAAACCUUUUUUUGCCGUAGACCACUAGAUUUUAUUGUACAACAGAACUGUACUUUAGGGUUGUUCUAAGGUAUUUGUUUACAUUUGGUAAACCUAUUUUCCUUCUGCUUUGAGUGUGACAAUUAUACAAAUAAUGUUCAAUCUCUCCAGCUCUGACAUGGCUGUUGUUCAUCACAUUUGAUUUCUAUCUGGCGCCUCUUUCAUUGAACAGGUUUCAUCGUCAUGAUUCCCUUUAUAGUUUUCUGCACGGUCGAUGUUGGCCUGGAACGUAACGUAAACCGGUACUACGGUCUGUAAUAUCAUGAACGUCAGCACGGCGGAUCACAUGCUUUGCAUGCAAAUCUAUUCCAUAUAAAAUGGUGAUCUUUAUAACAAACAAAAACACAUGCUUUUUUCGUUCUUGAAGAAUUUCGAGAGGCCAGUUAUGUGAUUUCCGGACAUAUUUAAUGUUUUUGCGGUGAAAUGUGAUGAACAGCCUCCUCUUAAUCAGCAAUGGGGCCCUCAGAAAGGUGCCAGGUUCCAGCGGGACGAUUGGGAGUGCCUUUUAAACCCAUUAACAGACCAAUUAACACGACUAACCUAACAUCCGCGCUCAUGUAAUCGUGGCAAAGUUGGUUCCUAAUUUGUAUUUCGUUCUCUCCUUUUUCCUUUUUGUAAUUAUUUAACGCUAGAUUUGUUAGAGCUGGGGGAUGUAAUUUUGUUUUUGUUGUUUUUACUUUACGUUGGUAUGAUAGUGCACCGCUAGUUUUAUUAAAAGUGAAAAGGUUUUACAUAGGCGUCAUGUGUCCAUGUUGGAUGUGUAGAGAAAUUAGAUCCAUAUUGUCUAUUCUAUAGCUAUUGUUCUGAAUCAUAUUGACGGAAUCCACCUCUUAAAAAUAUGUACAUUAUUGAAUUGCUUUAGGCAGAGUUAAGUGGGUAUAAAGUUGACCUAUUUGUGUAUAGUGGAAGGUAAUUAUUUAACAUUGUAAUAUUGCCUGAUUGCUGACAAGUUUUGGGGGCAGCAUGGAAUUCACAAGAAUCUGAGUAUAUAAAUCUGUUCCCUCCAAAAAUGCUCACAAUGUCAUUUUGUCAAACACUUUAGACAUCUCAUCUACCGUUUGUCAAAAGGAGCAUUAUCAACUCACACUGCAUACACUUUAUGUGAUGCUUAUAGUUUACUCCCAAUAACUUUUGCAUCUCACAUUUCUCUGGUCUAAAUCCAUUCUAAUCAGCCCCCUUAAUAUUUUGUAUACUUCUUCUCAUUGAAACUGAACUUCACUGCCUACUAAACCGAACGCAGCCGUACAGUCACUCUGAGGACCGGGGGUAUUUUGAUUUGCAUGAGCACAUUGUGUAUAUUUCACCUGGAGUUAAAGGUCAGAGCAAGAGGCAGCCAUUGUAUACUACUGAUUCUCCAAAAUGUUUCACACGUUCACUCCACUCAAAAGAUUUUAUUUGGGGAAGGGGGGGGGGGGGGUUGUUUUGUUCAAACCUGGCUCUAAAUGGAGGGUGUCAGCCUCUUCAGAAGUGGUCCGAUCGUCGCUUCCUCUCUGCUGGUUGGGGCUGCUCUCACUUUUCUACCAAUUGGAAGGCAAGUUGUAGUAAAGUUGAUGCUCGCUCAUAAACUAAAUAAAGGACGAUGAGAUGGGACACAAACGCGUUGUCGACUUAUUUGUGUUAUUUCGUGGGCCUGUUGCCUGUGUUUUCAGAUUCAGCAGACGCUUCCCACCAAAGUGACCAAGGAGGCUGAGAACAAUCAAAGUUAAAGUAGAAACGUAAGUAAGUAAAAACGUAAGUAAAACGUUCACAUGAUCAUUUUUCUGAAACAAACAACUGAACAGGGUCCAAUCCAUCUUGGUCCUAGGGGCUGGUGUUGGUAAGGCAACAAUAUAUUUAUAAUCAGCUCACUACUGCCCCUCGGUGGCAAAAUCAUUAACGCUAGAAACUGAGCGGCUAGAGAGGACCAAAGUAAGAAUAGUAAAUAUAUACGCUACUGAGUAUCAAAAUAAACCGUGAAUAAUGUAUAAUCAAACCACAAAUGCAGUUAAAAUGAAUAGCCGGAUAGUGCUAAGGGUGUCUGACUUUGCCAAAG